rnacentral:lncRNA from 1 species
GACACACGCCCAUAUAUUAGCCGUGUGUCUCACACGGUCUAGUCACACGCAGUGUGUUUGGCCGUGUAGACUCAAAAUGAACCUUAAACAUCAAGUUUACCCUUUCCGACAACCUUGAACACUAAGCAACUCAAAAACCAAUAGUUCAAUCACUUUAAAACACGAUUUAAUACCUUUAAAACAUGUCAAAACAAUCAUCCUAGUUUCC